rnacentral:tRNA from 1 species
GUUCGGCGGGAGCCGUGAGGUGGGCUGCGAGGCGGCGGGCUUCGGCGGUGACCUCGGCAUCGACCUGAUCCACGGUUCUGUCGCUGUGGUCGAGGA